rfam:Ovis aries breed Texel unplaced genomic scaffold TnplacedScaffold_004083069.1, whole genome shotgun sequence.
UCCCUCAAGGCUCAACUGGUAAAGAAUCUGCCUGCAGUGCAGGAGACCUGGGUUCGAUCCCCUGGAGGGAA